rnacentral:misc_RNA from 1 species
CUCACACGUUUCUCCGCUCACCACUCCUACUGUUCCACUGUUCAAUCCAUUUCUCUCCAAUGAGGAGACUUUUGGUUUAAGUUAAUAUUUUACAAGUCAAUAUAUAAAAAAAGAACAAAAAAAAAACAGUACGCCAUUUCUUUUAAAAUCGUGUAAAGUUCUAAAUCUUUUAGUGACUCAAGUUUUAAAGUUCGAACUUCGUGUCAACAUUUCUGUCACGCGCACUCACAUCUGUUGCGCGCCACGUUGAAACCGAGGAAAUCCGUUAUGGACACACCGCGGCCCGGGG